AUUGAACGCUGGCGGCAGGCCUAACACAUGCAAGUCGAGCGGAUGAAGGGGGCUUGCUCCUGGAUUCAGCGGCGGACGGGUGAGUAAUGCCUAGGAAUCUGCCUGGUAGUGGGGGAUAACGUCCGGAAACGGGCGCUAAUACCGCAUACGUCCUGAGGGAGAAAGUGGGGGAUCUUCGGACCCCACGCUAUCAGAUGAGCCUAGGUCGGAUUAGCUAGUUGGUGGGGUAAAGGCCUACCAAGGCGACGAUCCGUAACUGGUCUGAGAGGAUGAUCAGUCACACUGGAACUGAGACACGGUCCAGACUCCUACGGGAGGCAGCAGUGGGGAAUAUUGGACAAUGGGCGAAAGCCUGAUCCAGCCAUGCCGCGUGUGUGAAGAAGGUCUUCGGAUUGUAAAGCACUUUAAGUUGGGAGGAAGGGCAGUAAGUUAAUACCUUGCUGUUUUGACGUUACCAACAGAAUAAGCACCGGCUAACUUCGUGCCAGCAGCCGCGGUAAUACGAAGGGUGCAAGCGUUAAUCGGAAUUACUGGGCGUAAAGCGCGCGUAGGUGGUUCAGCAAGUUGGAUGUGAAAUCCCCGGGCUCAACCUGGGAACUGCAUCCAAAACUACUGAGCUAGAGUACGGUAGAGGGUGGUGGAAUUUCCUGUGUAGCGGUGAAAUGCGUAGAUAUAGGAAGGAACACCAGUGGCGAAGGCGACCACCUGGACUGAUACUGACACUGAGGUGCGAAAGCGUGGGGAGCAAACAGG
rnacentral:rRNA from 1 species